rnacentral:lncRNA from 1 species
CUCCACCAUCAUUUGAAGCUAUAAAAGGCACUUAAAAGAGGGAAUAAACAAGGUUUUUCAAGCAUUCAUUUCAGCCCUAAGUAAAGGGCCUUCUUGAAGUUAAAGAAGCUUUCAUUUCAAGUUCACCAACCCCUCAAGAGCUCAUUCAAGUCUUCAACAAUCUUGAGGAGAAUCAGAAAAGCUUCUUCAUUGUUGUAUAAAAUAUAUUUAAAGCUUUAUUUGCUCAUUAAAGG